ACUGAGGAUGAAGAUUUUCCACUUCUACAAUCGCCAUCCCCUCCUGAGAGUCACCCCCAGAGCUUUCUGAAAAUUGCUGCCUCACCCUUCCAAGAAUCCCAACCUUACUGAGGUGAAUAGGUUUGCAUGCCUAUCUGGUUGGUCCCAGGUGAGGGAGCUGGACUCAGAGCUGUUCAAAGAAAUAUUUGGAAGAGUGCAUGUCGGAAAGAGGAACCUCAUCCAGACACCGAGGGAUACUGGAGCCCUCUAUACCCAGGCUGGCGGGGAGCUCACCUGAUAGUGCCUAGUGUCCUGGCCUGCACACAUGAAAUCUGGUGCCUGUUGUCAUGUGGACUCAUCACCAGGAAGAUUAGAUGCAGCGAUCUGGUGCAUCGCAAGUUGGCAUCUUGGAGUCCUGAUUCUUGGCUACAAAAAAAUUGUGAUGUGGAUUGACACCACUCUGGUAGGAAAGGAGCUGGAACAUUGAGGAGAUGAAAGAAUACCAACUAGAUGUGGUUGGGUCCACCUCUGUGCACUGUACCAGACCUGGAACUGAACUUCUAGAUGGAAGCUGGACUUCACUGGAAGGAAGGGGAUCAAGACCAGCUUGCUUCACAUCCUGCCUCUUGCCUAAAGCAGCAAGGCCUCACGACCAGUUUGCUAUGAAGUGGAUAUGCACUGUCCACAGCGCGCGCAUCCCCGUAAUUAUGAUGACCAUUUUCAGUUGUCACGACAACCUGCGCGCCUGGCUCAUGGCUGCCCUCCAAGCGCAGACAAAGCUGUCGUCGAAUGAACCAGGUGUGUGUCCACCGGACCUGAGGGGUGCCGCCACCGCUAACAAAACACACAAAGACCCUCGCCCCUGGCACUGGCCCUCACCCCGUCUACCCGCUAUCCUGCCCCUCCCACACACCGCUGCCUGCUGCUUUGUGCCUGCUCCAAGAAGAGGAAGUUCCCCUCAUCUCCUUUUCAAGUCAUUUCCCAGCUGCAAACGCUGACCAAUCAGAGCAGACGGGGCUUUUUCGGGAGGCUUGCUUCAAGAGACAGGUCUGCCUCCUCUGCCAGAGAGCAAAGGGCCUACAGCAUCAUUUCCUUUAGGCUGAUGACGUCUG